GCGUAAAGGGUGCGUAGGUGGCAGAAUAAGUCUGAAGUAAAAGGCUGCAGCUCAACUGCAGUAUGCUUUGGAAACUGUUCAGCUAGAGUGCGGAAGAGGGCGAUGGAAUUCCAUGUGUAGCGGUAAAAUGCGUAGAUAUAUGGAGGAACACCAGUGGCGAAGGCGGUCGCCUGGUCCGUAACUGACACUGAGGCACGAAAGCGUGGGGAGCAAAUAGGAUUAGAUACCCUAGUAGUCCACGCCGUAAACGAUGAGAACUAAGUGUUGGAGAAAUUCAGUGCUGCAGUUAACGCAAUAAGUUCUCCGCCUGGGGAGUAUGCACGCAAGUGUGAAACUCAAAGGAAUUGACGGGGACCCGCACAAGCGGUGGAGUAUGUGGUUUAAUUCGAAGCAACGCGAAGAACCUUACCAGGCCUUGACAUGGAACUAAAGGCCCUAGAGAUAGGGAGAUAGUUAUAGUUCACACAGGUGGUGCAUGGUUGUCGUCAGCUCGUGUCGUGAGAUGUUGGGUUAAGUCCCGCAACGAGCGCAACCCUUGUCUUCUGUUACCAUCAUUCAGUUGGGGACUCAGGAGAGACUGCCGGUGACAAACCGGAGGAAGGUGGGGAUGACGUCAAAUCAUCAUGCCCCUUAUGGCCUGGGCUACACACGUACUACAAUGGCGGCUACAAAGAGGAGCGAAGAAGUGAUUUGGAGCAAAUCUCAUAAAGGUCGUCUCAGUUCGGAUUGAAGUCUGCAACUCGACUUCAUGAAGUCGGAAUCGUCUAGUAAUCGCAGAUCAGCAUGCUG
rnacentral:rRNA from 1 species